UUUGCGGAUAGAGUGACGGCUCGAAAACCAAUUAACCUGAUUGGCCUCCGCAUCAUUACAUCAGGU
rnacentral:sRNA from 1 species